rnacentral:lncRNA from 1 species
GUACAACUUAUUUUUUCUGUACAGAAACAAUUAAGGGUCCAGCUUUGCAUAACGUAAGUCUUUGCUCUUAUAAGCUAAAGAUAAACUAUAAUAUUAUGUAGACAGAUUUUGUACAGUGAAGUUUUCCUUCCUCAGAUCUUCUCGUUGUCUUUUGUUUGCUUCAUUUUCUUCAAAGAUUGAUUGCAACUCGAUGUUUAACGCAAGACCUCGAAGAUCUAGCAUUCUACUAGUUUUAUCAUCAUCGAAUUCCAAGAAUUGGAUAAAAUCAGAAGUAAAGGUUUGCAAAUGAGAACGUUUUUUGGGGUGGCAUACAAGGUUUGGAAGGUUCUAAGUUUGUGUCUUAGUUUGUUUCAUAAUUACAAAUGAUAUUGGUCAUUCUCUUCAAAGUUGAAAAUGUU